GACCUCGAUAGUGUAAUGGUCUGAUCGCACUCGUCUCUUGGGCAUGGGUGAAACGCGGGUUCAAUUCCUGCCCCGGGGUCA